UACGUAGGGUCCGAGCGUUGUCCGGAAUUACUGGGCGUAAAGGGCUCGUAGGCGCCAACUAAGUCAGACGUGAAAUCCCUCGGCUUAACCGGGGAACUGCGUCUGAUACUGGUUGGCUUGAAUCCGGGAGAGGGAUGUGGAAUUCCAGGUGUAGCGGUGAAAUGCGUAGAUAUCUGGAGGAACACCGGUGGCGAAGGCGGCGUCCUGGACCAACACUGACACUGAGGAGCGAAAGCCAGGGGAGCAAUCCGG
rnacentral:rRNA from 1 species